rnacentral:misc_RNA from 1 species
UUUCCGUAGGUGAACCUGCGGAAGGAUCAUUCAUAAUAAAGUGUUUUAUGGCACUUUUUAAAAAUCCAUAUCCACCUUGUGUGCAAUGUUAGAUCUCGUCAAUCUUGGCGAGAUUUUUAUACAUCAACUCAUUCUUUAACUAAUUUGUCUGAAAAAUAUCAUGGAUACUUAAUUCAAAAUACAACUUUCAACAACGGAUCUCUUGGCUCUC